CACAAUUGCUACAAUUCAACCCCAACAAAGACCAAUUCAAAAAUGGGCACACAGGAGGAACGGGACUUGGCCUCACUUCCAGGAACAGCUGCACACUCUGCACUCCAGUCUGCACCUGUGAUGACACUCGCAUACCUCUUGUUUCUUCAUGUCAUUCUUCUUAAAGCACCAUAAAGACCUGCCCUUCGGGAGCCAGCCAGAGAACUCUUGUUCUUAUGCUAUAUCCCUUGCGCUCAAGCAUAAGCCCCAACAAAGCCUCGUCUGGGAAACUUUCUCAGCCUCCUGUCAAUUUCUGUUGCCUGAGAGCCUAAGAACCCAUGGUUGGUACUGAAGGUUCAGUUCUAUUCAUUUUGUCUUCUUGUUUUCUGUUAAAUAAGAAAAUUAUUUCCUUAUUAAAUAAGGAAAAUCUUGGGUUAGUCUUUCUGGUACUUUGUCUUGCAGU
rnacentral:lncRNA from 10 species